rnacentral:rRNA from 1 species
UUGAACGCUGGCGGCAUGCCUUACACAUGCAAGUCGAACGGCAGCACGGGAGCAAUCCUGGUGGCGAGUGGCGAACGGGUGAGUAAUGUAUCGGAACGUACCUUUCAGUGGGGGAUAACGUAGCGAAAGUUACGCUAAUACCGCAUAUUCUGUGAGCAGGAAAGCAGGGGAUCGCAAGACCUUGCGCUGAUUGAGCGGCCGAUAUCGGAUUAGCUAGUUGGUGAGGUAAAGGCUCACCAAGGCGACGAUCCGUAGCUGGUCUGAGAGGACGACCAGCCACACUGGAACUGAGACACGGUCCAGACUCCUACGGGAGGCAGCAGUGGGGAAUUUUGGACAAUGGGGGCAACCCUGAUCCAGCCAUUCCGCGUGAGUGAAGAAGGCCUUCGGGUUGUAAAGCUCUUUCGGCAGGAACGAAACGGUGGUCCUUAAUACGGGCUACUAAUGACGGUACCUGAAGAAGAAGCACCGGCUAACUACGU